CCUCUUACUAUUUUUUUAAAAAGUUGGGGUAUACAUUUAAUUUGAGCCUCUUUUAUGGUGUGUUUUAAAAAGGUUUCAUACAGCUUCCAGGCAUUUCACUCGUGACUGUUCCUUUUAAGUUCCGUUUAACUAGCUUCCUCAUUUUUGUGUAGUUCCCCUUUCUAAAGUUAAAUGCUAUGGUAGUGGGCUUCUUUGGUUCCCGCCACCACCACAAGGAUGUUUAAUUUCAUUAUAUUAUGGUCACUAUUACCAAAUUGUUCAGCUAUAUACACCUCUUGGACCAGAUCCUGAGCUCCACUUAGGACUAAAUUAAGAAUUGCCUUUCCCCUUGUGGGUUCCAGGACUAGCUGAUCCAAGUAUUAGUCAUUAAUGGUGUUAAAUUUUAUCUCUGCAUACCAUUCUGAGGUGACGUGUUCCCAGUCAUUACGGGGAUAGUUGAAAUCGCCUAUUAUUAUUG